GCUAUCAAGGUCUGUUAGUAUAAAACAGUCCUUUUAAAUAUUACUGUUAAGAGAGAAAAAUGCUCUUCGGCUGCUAUACUAGAAGUGGCCCAUGAUAGGGAUUCACUUCUGAAGCCAACUGUAUCUUUGCCAGCAGGGAACAGUGUUAAGAUGACUCUGCACUCCUUCUUGAGGGAAUUGCCUUGGGGAAACCAGCUCAGAGAGGAGAAUAGAUUGUUCCAAGGAAAACUGGAUGGGAGUGGAUGGGGCCUCUUCAAAGUAAGAAAUAUACUUUCCCUCCGAGAAGUCCAUCAGUUAAUAUUAACAAGGAGAAAGAGAAAGAAUAACCUGGCAGGAAGCUCUGAAUUUCCCCCAGACUCGAGUCAAGAGAUCAUCAAGGAAGGAGUCUAGCUGUAAAGUACACCUCUCUUCCUCCGAUGGGAGUGACAACCAGGGUGACUGGAAUCAGAGGGCAGCCUGCUCUCCUUUGGCAAACAAACACCCACUCUGGUAAGUGCCUUUUAAUGUGCAUCAAGUCUAUGUCUAGGAAAAGGAUGCACAGUUGGCAAGUACAGAGCUGUAAGGGGAUAGCUUUGACAUGCUGAUAAAGCUUCUCGGUUUACUUUGGACUUGACUUUAUCAUUUACUGAAGGAUAGUAUUAGUGUGGAGACGAUAGCCAUUCUCUGACUUCUCGAACGAAAGCCAGUGAAAUGUAUAUGAACAAAAGGUCUGUUAUGGGGAAUCCUACCCUGUUUGCUCAGUGACUUUGGGAUCCUAAUCAUACAACUUCACAGAGAUAAGGCCUGGAGCAGAGAAAAAGAGCCCACCCAGUUAGGGGCCCCCAGGAAGAUGAGUGAAAGUCAGUGGCGUUAAAAAUGGAAGCUCCUCCAACUCUGAGCAUGUGUGUAGUUUUCCCUUAUUGCAAAUUUGAUAUUAUAAAAAUAGAUUUGCUCUUUGGAGCCAGAUGGCACGCAGUACUUCUGAAGUUAAAUCCAGCCUUAUGACAAUGGCCAUCGCCAAAAGGAACUACUUGACUGUGAUGCCAAACUAUUCAGCUCUUUAUGAGUCAUUUUCAUCAAGCAAGCACUUCUGAACCUCUUUGGGUACAAGCACACAUACAUGCCCCUUGACCACAAUAUAACUGUUGCUUUGGUGCGGUAUCUUUUUUGUUGUUGUGUUUUUGUUAUUUGUUUUUAUCUUCCUCAUUCUUGUUUGAAAAAAAUAAUAAUUAAGAGCACAUACCUUGGUACUGAUUGUCAAUUAGCUUGUUGCCUUACAACAUGAUUUUACUGCUCAUUUUCAGAUGGUCUCAUUGAUUGAUUGAUUGAUGCAUCCACUCCUUUAGCAAAGUCUACAGUUGCACACAAGCAAGAUCAUAGGAUCGGAAGUCAAAAGAUGCAUGUUGGGCCCAUCAAGACAUGAUUUUUUGAAGUCAAGUCAUCCUGGGAAAUCCUUUACAGUUUUCUUGGCUUUAGCUUUCGUAGCUUAUAUGGAAGAUAGUAAUAGUAAUUGUCGCAAAAAAUAUCAUUUGUAAAAGCAUUUUGUAUACCAGAAAACAUUAUGCAAAGACUUUUUGUUCUCAAAGGCUAGGACUAUGACUAGAAUAUUGUAUAAGUGAAUAAGCAUAUUUUAAGCAUCUAUCUAUGUCCAGAAAUUUGUGGGGAGUUUUGUAGAUAAAAAGACUAAUCUGACAGAGAUUCUGUACUCAAGAAGGUUAAAGCCUAUGAGAAGAAAAUAAUUCAGUCACAGAGAAGGCACAAAUUUAGUCUUAGAAUUUUCUUAAAAUUUUAUAUAAAGUAAUAUAUUUGCCAGACAAAGCCAUCAACAUUGUGAUUCUCUGUGAGCUUCAGCCUGACUUUGUGAUAACCCAUGUUUAAAGAUAAUAUUGGUUAUUUUAAGAUAUACUCCUAUAAACAUAAUAAAUUAUUCACUUUUAUUUAACA
rnacentral:lncRNA from 1 species